CUGGUGUGCUACUAACACUGUUUGAGCCACAAUCAUGAAACACAGAACUGUAUGGGCUGCUAUGGGGAAGGUUAACUCCAUCCCAGCCAGACCCAGUUCAUGAAUUUAAAUAGUUGCUAUUAUUUCUUAGUAAUGCCGAACAUAUUAAGGAUUUAUUUGGUAAGUAGACAUGUUUAUUUUUAUGGCACAAAACCAGACGUAACACCAAAUGAGAAGGUGUCAUUCAGAAGACAGCCAACUCUGCUAAGCUCCUGGGUGAGUCUGCUGCUGAUGAACAGGGCCCGUACAGAAAUUCACCUCCAGGGAAAUUUGCUGCUUCUAGUAGAACCAGGAGCAGAAAUUUCUGACAUUGAUUCACUGGAAGUAAACACCACCUGUGGGAAUAUUUCCCAAAGGAGCAACUACCAGAUGGAAACUGAGUCCUGUGCAGUUUUAUUCAGAGUAGCUGACAGGGGAGAGAAACUUCACUGCAAAAAUGCUCAGAGAUAUCCCCGAUGAUCACACUUGUUUGGGCCUGGCUGCUCCACCAGGCAUACCAGAGGGACGUUGGGCUACUUGGGUCAAUCAACGUCCUGUAACUGUGGCCAGGCCACCUGGCUGUAUCUCUGUGAAGCCUCAGGGCUCCCAUAUGGUUCUGCUCGGCCAUGGCCAUUGUUGCACCUGUCUGUCAUAUAAUGACCACUGAAGACAGGUAAUGUAUAUUCAUGGUGUGUUUAUCCCAGCUGAAACCAGAACAAUAGAACACCCUCCCACUACUAGACCCAACUUCACCCAUGUGAAUCCUUAUUUCUAGUUAUCUUUUCACCUCUCCAUCCAUCACUCACAUUCAAAGUCUUUUAGACUUAUAAUUAGCUAUGUGCCUAUGUGCACACAGUUGAUCACAACCUCUUCUUCAUUGUUGUUGUCAAAAAGGACAAGUAGCUAAAUAUCAUUAAAUAAUUUAUUAUUAAUAAUAAUAUCUAACAGUAAUUAGGGGUCUUUGAUGCUUCACUAGGGAGUUAAAAAUACAUUACAAGUUGUACAUAGAAAAAAAAAUGAGCUGAAAAAAAAAUGAAAUAACCCAAUAGAAGUGAUAAAUUAGACAAUAUUAUAACAUUUUAACAGUUUUGUUAGUUAAUUGGUCUGUUCAGCAUGGAGAAGAGAAGACUGAGAGGAGAUCACAUCAAUGCUUAUAAAUAUCUCAAAGAUGGGUGUCAAGAGGAUGGGACCAGACUCUUUUCAGCGGUGCCCAACAAUAGGAGGAGGGUCAAUGGGCACAGACUGAAGCACAGGAGGUUCCACCUAAACAUGAGGAGAAACUUCUUUACUUUGAGGGUGACAGAGUGCUGGAACAGGCUGCCCAGAGAGGUUGUGGAGUCUCCUUCUCUGGAGACAUUCAAGACCCACCUGGACACAUUCUUGUGUGAUCUGCUCAACAUGAACCUGCUUUAGCCAGUGGGUUGGACUAGAUGAUCUCCAGAGGUCCCUUUCAACCCCAGUCAUUGUGUGAUUCUGUGAUUCUGUGAAUUCUGAAAAUUUAUUUAUUUGAGGGAUUAUUGGUUUAGCUAUUAUAAAAUCUAGUUUACCCACUUGUCAUGCCUUUGACAUUGGUUCGGUUCAUGGCAGUGCAGAACAGUGUUGAUGUGCUGGUUUUCAAAUCACUCAAGGUGGUACAUCCUGAAAUAAGGAAAAACUCUCUGGGGAGGAAAGACUUGUUUCUUUUAAGGUCUGACAGGUUCUACCACUGCUCCUAUUCAUCUUGCACGCCAUCUGCUGUCCUUGUGGAGGAGUGCACGGAACAGGAUGCAAAAGUCUCGGUGUAAUUCUAAUCUUCAUACACCAAAAUGGGUUACAAUGCACAUCAGCAGACUGAGAAGCUGAAGGAGUUUUUGGCUCACUUGCUUUCAAACCAGCUGAGUUGCUCAAGGGGACAAGGAGUAACCAGCAAAACUAAACUACAUGUGGCAAGAAUCCAUCUGGGAAUGAUCUUUGAUGGAAGAUGACGAAAGAAGAAUUUUAACCAUAUUUUGUUUUAUUGCAUAAUUAGUGUUUGUUUUGCAAAUUUGUCAUAUCAGAAGCAUGAACUUCAGCAAGUACUCAAGACUUUUUAAGAAGAACCUACAGAGAAUAUCUGUGGGGUCAGUAUGAUAGAGGUGGAGGAGUGCAGAUAAAGGAAAAGUAAAAAAGGGUUGUACAAGGAGGAAUGAGCUGGGAUGGAGCAGCCCAUGCCAACUGGAGUGCAUUACAUCAUGCACCCCUCUUCUUGCUCUGGCUGCAUCCACCUUCUCUGCACUACUGCCACUUCCCUGGGCACAUGGCUCAUUUCCAGCUGACUUUUAUGAGCACAGAAGGCAUUUCACUCCUACAUAAUGUUUCCAGGGACAUGUACAGUGGAGCAGUUAGCAGUGUUCCACACCAGAAUAUCAUUGCAAACUCUGAGCAUGGAAAACAUCCAGGGAACAAAAGAGUACCCCAAACAGUUUGAGAGAAACAUUCACCUUUACAUCAGUGAAAAUUCUUUCAGGGUUUUUUUUUUCUUACCAAGCAUGUAGAAAGCUAAAUCACUCUUUUCUAAGUAAAAGUAAAUUCUUGUUAGCUGCAUUCCACAGAUGCAGCAUCUCUUCCUUGCACACCAGUGCUGGUAGAAGAUGUGUUGGGUGCUGAGGUGAAGUACCACCCAGACUGAAGGACAUAUGCAGACACGUCACUUGUUUCUGCUCUCCCCAGUCAAUUUCACCAGGGUGGAGGUAGAUGUUAGGGAGCUGGGGGAAAAAGGCUUUUCUAAACCAGUAAAGGAGCGCCAGGAAGAGGCCUUGGAACUUCAUUAUCCGUAUCAUUGAAUUGUUAGAACCAUUUGAAUGGCUAGCACCAUCACAAACCAUCCCUUAGUGAGCUUCAGGAGCAAAUAUGGCGCAGGGCUACACUGAGAGCAUCUGCCCUACUUGAGAGGACGCACAGGACAUGAGUUUCUCAAUGGUAUAAACGCAACCAAAGAAGGAGAAUAGGCAUGCUACAUUGUGAAAUGGGUAGCAUACAGGGAGAAGGCAGAAGGCUGCAACCCUCCAAAAGCUCCCUCAGCUCUCUCUAGUUCUUUCAUUUUGCUUUCCCCAUGAGCACCUGCCCAGAGCUCACUCUGACACUCCAACAGCAGAGAGUUUUGCAGCCACCAGUUCUGAGGACCAAGCUGGUUGCUUGAACUUUCAGCCUUGUGGGGCCUGGAAGAGGGGCAUUCAAUGUGUCUGGGCUUCAAGAAACUUUGGGAAGGGGAUUUUUCCAGCAGUGUUUUACAGGCAUGAACACAGAAAUGCUGAUUCUCAUAGUCAUUCUGAUUGGCAAAUCCACCAGGCUGGAAAUGAACUGGAUGUAAAAAUAACCUAUCCCCUUAUCACAAAGAGUUCUGCCAUGGAUUCAUUACUUUGACCUGGGAAAAGCUCUUAUACCCUGUCUCAAAUCAUCUGGAAACUGGAGUUCAUAGCCAGCUUCUGGGGUUUGUGGUGCAUUCUGAGAAACAGAGCAGAAUAUUCAGUGCAUCAGGUUUUCCAUAGAUUUUCUCCUUUUAUGUAUAAGCAGGUCAGGUACUGAUUUCACAGGAGACUCACAAAAUAUUAAUGAUGUUAUUCUUUUUUGUUUGUUUGUUGAUUUCUUUUCUCCUAGUACUCUGCUGCUCUGCUCGAAACGACCAAUGUUAGGAAAAUGCUGCUGGAAGGAACAUCUGGAAGAACAUCUGCACAAACAGAUGGAAAUAAAGAAAAUCAGCAGCAAUUAGCUUCACUCAAAGUCACCAAAUGUGCCAUGAAAACAAAAGAAUGAAUGAUGAGAAGAACUUCAAUUUUCUGCAUUAAGACAGGAGAAGAACUCCAAAAAGAGGAGAAGUUCCAGGUACUUGAACUUUUGCCAGCCAUGGUGAUCUACAGUCAUCUACAGGUGAAGAGUUUAUUCCAGGACAUGGAGCCACACAGCACAGCCAGCGAAAUGCUGUGUGGCCAUGAGUUUCUCUCCCAGCAAGGAGGCUCUCAGAGAACCUGCGCUACCAAGGAAGACACAGCCUAAUGGCAUGGACCUCACUCCCGAUGGAAGCUCAGACGGGUCAUCCUGUGACCUACCUGCAAGUUUCUGCUGGACUAGGGGUCCAGCCUGUGGAGCUGCACAUAUUUCUCUGGUGUAUCCCAGGGUGGAGAAGCUGAGAAAACCAACCAGGACCAACAGGACUUCAUGAAGGGCUGAUUUUUUGGAAUUGCAAAGUAUUUCUGCAGUUUAAUCAAUUAAAAACUAGAGGAGUUGGAAGCUGUCAACUACAUCAGCAGCUUCCCAGUGGUAGAGGAGCAUAACUUGCUGGUAAUAUGGAGAACUAACAAGGAGUCCUGGACGCAUCUCAAUUUCUCCCUGACACAUGAGGUUUUAUAGAGGAAAAAAUAAGCCUUGACUUUUCUAGUUUUGAGGAACAUAUUCCCUAAUUACAAAGGCAUCUGUGUUUUUCUGAUUUUUCAGACAGAAAGAAUGAGCAACAUAAAAGUGCAAACACCUACUCUUCUUUUCACUGAGUGAAGAUUAAGAUACCAAUGAUAAUCCUGUUAAAUGUCAGCAUUGUCAAUUAACUUGAUCACCCUUAUGUAUUAAUACAUGAGAAAUUAGAGGAAACAUCUUAUUAUGGAGAGCCAAACUAUCCACUCUGAAUGACACCUUACUUUUGUGAGAUACUAAUGAUGUGUGGCCUUGCUGAAGGGGAUUUAGGUUGAUUUGUUUCUUUGCAAAUCAGAUCAAUUUUCUGAGGCUGGGAAGAUGUUGGCUUUGAAAACUGCAGUGGCAUGGACUCAAGACCAAACUAAGUUUAUCAUAAAACAGUGUGACAAUGUGAUGUUGAUUCCAUGGCUGUUGAAGACUUACUCCAUGACAUCUUCAAAGGAAUCAUAAAUCUUAUUAAACCAUUGCCAACAAUU